CAAACUGAAGAUGGCGACCGGCGCACGGGUGAGUAACACGUAUCCAACCUGCCGAUAACUCCGGAAUAGCCUUUCGAAAGAAAGAUUAAUACCGGAUGGCAUACGAAUAUCGCAUGAUAUUUUUAUUUAAAGAAUUUCGGUUAUCGAUGGGGAUGCGUUCCAUUAGUUUGUUGGCGGGGUAACGGCCCACCAAGACUACGAUGGAUAGGGGUUCUGAGAGGAAGGUCCCCCACAUUGGAACUGAGACACGGUCCAAACUCCUACGGGAGGCAGCAUG
rnacentral:rRNA from 1 species